UGCAGUCGAACGAAGUAGCAAUACUUAGUGGCAGACGGGUGAGUAACAUGUAGGUAUCUGCCCUUUGGCCUGGAAUAACACGAGGAAACUUGUGCUAAUACCGGAUAAGUCUUUACGGAGAAAGCUUUAUGCACCAUUGGAUGAGCCUGCACUUGAUUAGUUUGUUGGUAGGGUAAUGGCCUACCAAGACUGUGAUCAAUAGCUGAUUUGAGAGGAUGAUCAGCCACAUUGGGACUGAGACACGGCCCAAACUCCUACGGGAGGCAGCAGUGGGGAAUCUUGCACAAUGGAGGAAACUCUGAUGCAGCGAUGCCGCGUGAGUGAAGAAGGCCUUUGGGUUGUAAAGCUCUUUCGUCGGGGAAGAAAAUGACUGUACCCGAAUAAGAAGGUCCGGCUAACUUCGUGCCAGCAGCCGCGGUAAUACGAAGGGACCUAGCGUAGUUCGGAAUUACUGGGCCUAAAGAGUUCGUAGGUGGUUGAAAAAGUUGGUGGUGAAAUCCCAGAGCUUAACUCUGGAUCUGCCAUCAAAACUUUUCAGCUAGAGUUUGAUAGAGGAAAGCAGAAUUUCUAGUGUAGAGGUGAAAUUCGUAGAUAUUAGAAAGAAUACCAAUUGCGAAGGCAGCUUUCUGGAUCAUUACUGACACUGAGGAACGAAAGCAUGGGUAGCGAAGAGGAUUAGAUACCCUCGUAGUCCAUGCCGUAAACGAUGUGUGUUAGACGUUGGAAAUUUAUUUUCAGUGUCGCAGCAAAAGCGAUAAACACACCGCCUGGGGAGUACGACCGCAAGGUUAAAACUCAAAUGAAUUGACGGGGACCCGCACAAGUAGUGGAGCAUGUGGUUUAAUU
rnacentral:rRNA from 1 species